UGCAAGUCGAACGGAGAUUUUAUUUCGGUAAAAUCUUAGUGGCGAACGGGUGAGUAACGCGUAGGCAACCUGCCCCACAGCCGGGGACAACUUCCCGAAAGGGAAGCUAAUACCGGAUACGAACCGGGCAUCGCAUGAUGCCGGGUUGAAAGAUGGCCUCUAUUUAUACGCUAUCGCUGUGGGAUGGGCCUGCGUCCGAUUAGCUGGUUGGUGAGGUAACGGCUCACCAAGGCGACGAUCGGUAGCCGGUCUGAGAGGAUGAACGGCCACAUUGGGACUGAGACACGGCCCAGACUCCUACGGGAG
rnacentral:rRNA from 1 species